CUGUUCUUCUUGUCCAUUCUCAACCAAACAAACUAAACCAAAGAAUGACCAGCCUUUCUCCAUCAACGAAGAACCCAUGAAUCUAUGCCUUUGUUUCCUUUUAUUCGGUGGAUAACAGCUGAGAUCAUUUCCACAGUUGUCGAUCUCCAUCACUACCAGCUUUACAUCCCAUCAGGUUCACUGCUUGAAAUAGGUUCGAGUUGAAUCUCUGACAAAAAUCUCUAGUUCGCUGCCCCACACAAGGUUCAAAUGCUCGAAUUCUCAAUCGUGCUUAGACUUUUCAGUGCAUCAGCAUCAGCAGCCGUGGUGAGUCCUUAUACUUCGAGGAAAAGUUAUCUUAUAUUCAGUUAUGUCAGUAGUUUAGUUAUUUAGUCAGUCAGAGUUAGUUGGGGGCUUGUCCUAUCAACUCCACUGUCAGACAGUUUAGAGGCUUUCAAACUAGUACAAACAAAUAGUCAGUUUUCAGUCAUUAUUAUCAGUUGUUUUAUUAGUAUUGAUAGUAUGUUUCAAACAUUAUUAAACUAUGAUUUAGUAUUGAUUUUUAGUUGUUAAAACCUUAUGGCAUUUCAGUUGAAA